rnacentral:lncRNA from 1 species
GACAGAGGGGAUCAAGUACCUAAUAGAAAAGAUGACCGAAGUCGUGAAAGGGACAGAGAAAGACGCAGAUCUAGAGAAAGAUCACCUCAGAGGAAACGUUCCCGGGAGAGGUCACCCCGGAGAGAAAGAGAGCGCUCCCCUCGGAGAGUCCGUCGUGUCGUUCCACGGUACACAGUGCAGUUUUCAAAGUUUUCUUUAGAUUGGUAAGUUUUUCCAUGUUCUUUGUCUUUUAAAUUUCAUUAUUAGUGCUAGAGUUUUGUUUAGAAUAGAAGUGCAAUUUUUUUUUCCUUUUAAAGUUACUUAGUAACAGUUUGAGCUAUUUAUUUGAGGGUGGAAAUGCAGUUUGAAUUUGGAAUUUUGUUCCUUAUAUAAGGAGAAUUAUUUUUGAUUACACAUUUAGGUUAGCAGCUACUUAAAAGAAGGACCUAUUGGUUUAGGAUAUAGCCUUGAACAAGAGUGCUUGCUUGCCUACUAGGGAAGUUGUAGGUUCAAUUCCAGUACCAAAACCAACUAACCAAUAAGCAAAUAAGCAAACUUCUAGAGAACUUUCCUUUGUAAUGAAAAUUUUCCUUAGAGUCAUUUAGAAUCAGGAUUUACUGAUAACUUUAAAUUUGCUAAUUGUAUAUUGAGCACUAAUACUUUUGUUUUAAGAUUAACUGGCAGGAGAGUGAGAUAUAGAAACAUUGACCUUGAUGUACUUCUGUGAUUUACUUGUUUGUGUCUUUAGUAAAUGUCUUAGCUUCAUAUAAAACCUCAUGCUAGGGCUGGUGAGAUGGCUCAGUGGGUAAUAGCACCUGACUGCUCUUCCAAAGGUCCGGAGUUCAAAUCCCAGCAACCACAUGGUGGCUCACAGCCAUCUGUAACGAGAUCUGACGCCCUCUUCUGAAGACAGCUAUUUACAUAUAAUAAAUAAAUAAAUCUUUAAAAAAAACAAACAAAAAAACCUCAUGCUAAUUUAUAGAAUUACUAUGAAGUUGAGUUAAAUGUCUACAGCACUUAACCUAUUAUAUAAUAGUUACAGAUCCUCUGUAAUUCUUGGUGGUGAACAGUGUGGCACACUGAUGAUAGAUUAACACUU